rnacentral:rRNA from 1 species
GACGAACGCUGGCGGCGUGCUUAACACAUGCAAGUCGAGCGAGGUCCAUCCAGUCGCAAGACUGGGGAAGACCUAGCGGCGAGCGGGUGAGUAACACGUGAGCAACCUGCCCCGAAGUCUGGGAUAACACCGGGAAACCGGUGCUAAUACCGGAUGCCCUCCUCUGGUCGCAUGGCCUAGGGGAGGAGAGAAUUUUGCUUCGGGAGGGGCUCGCGGGCUAUCAGCUGGUUGGGUGGGGUAACGGCCCACCAAGGCGACGACGGCUAGCUGUCUGAGAGGACGACCAGCCACACUGGGACUGAGACACGGCCCAGACUCCUACGGGAGGCAGCAGUGGGGAAUCUUGCGCAAUGGGCGAAAGCCUGACGCAGCAACGCCGCGGUGGGGGAUG